UACGUAGGGUGCAAGCGUUAUCCGGAAUUAUUGGGCGUAAAGAGCUCGUAGGCGGUUUGUCGCGUCUGCUGUGAAAACUGGAGGCUCAACCUCCAGCCUGCAGUGGGUACGGGCAAACUAGAGUGCGGUAGGGGAGAUUGGAAUUCCUGGUGUAGCGGUGGAAUGCGCAGAUAUCAGGAGGAACACCGAUGGCGAAGGCAGAUCUCUGGGCCGUAACCGACGCUGAGGAGCGAAAGCGUGGGGAGCGAACAGG
rnacentral:rRNA from 1 species